rnacentral:rRNA from 1 species
CGCGUAGGCGGCUAGGCAAGUCAAAGGUGAAAUCCCUCGGCUCAACCGAGGAACUGCCUCUGAAACUGCCUGGCUUGAGUCCCGGAGAGGGUGGCGGAAUUCCCAGUGUAGCGGUGAAAUGCGUAGAUAUUGGGAGGAACACCUGUGGCGAAGGCGGCCACCUGGACGGGUACUGACGCUGAGGCGCGAAAGCGUGGGGAGCAAACAGGAUUAGAUACCCUGGUAGUCC